rnacentral:rRNA from 1 species
CGCGUAGGCGGUCUUAUAAGUCUCGUGUGAAAUCCCUCGGCUUAACUGAGGAACUGCACGGGAUACUGCAAGACUUGAGAUCGGGAGAGGGAAGCGGAAUUCCGGGUGUAGCGGUGAAAUGCGUAGAUAUCCGGAGGAACACCGGUGGCGAAGGCGGCUUCCUGGACCGACACUGACGCUGAGGCGCGAAAGCUAGGGGAGCAAACG